rnacentral:rRNA from 1 species
AGAGUUUGAUCCUGGCUCAGAAUGAACGCUGGCGGCGUGCUUAACACAUGCAAGUCGAACGAGAAAGGGCUUCGGCCCGAGUACAGUGGCGAACGGGUGAGUAAUGCAUAGGAAUUACCCCUCUAGUGAAGGAUACUCUCGAGAAAUCGAGAACAAUCCUGCAUAAGUUUCUUCGGAAAGAAAGAUGGCCUCUUUGCUGUCGCUAGGGGACGAGCCUAUGUGCUAUCAGCUAGUUGGUAGGGUAAUGGCCUACCAAGGCUAUGACGGUUAGCCGGCCUGAGAGGGUGUACGGCCACAUUGGAACUUAGACACGGUCCAGACUCCUACGGGAGGCAGCAGUGGGGAAUAUUGCGCAAUGGGCGAAAGCCUGACGCAGCGACGCCGCGUGGAGGAUGAAGGUCUUCGGAUUGUAAACUUCUGUUAGGUGGGAAGAAAUGCAUAGUCCUAAUACGACUAUGAGAUGACGGUACCAUCAGAGAAAGCACCGGCUAAACUCGUGCCAGCAGCCGCGGUAAUACGAGUGGUGCAAGCGUUAUUCGGAGUGAUUGGGCGUAAAGGGUGUGUAGGCGGCAUGUUAAGUCAAUUGUUAAAUUCCUCGGCUCAACCGAGGUGCAGCGGUUGAAACUAACUUGCUUGAGGGUGGAAGAGAGAAGUGGAAUUCUCGGAGUAGCGGUAAAAUGCGUAGAUCUCGAGAGGAACACCGAUGGCGAAGGCAGCUUCUUGGUCCAUUUCUGACGCUGAGGCACGAAAGCGUGGGGAGCAAACAGGAUUAGAUACCCUGGUAGUCCACGCCGUAAACGAUGGUCACUAGACGUUGGUCUUGCUUUGCGAGAUCAGUGUCGUAGCUAACGCGUUAAGUGACCCGCCUGGGGAGUACGGUCGCAAGAUUAAAACUCAAAGGAAUUGACGGGGGUCCGCACAAGCGGUGGAACAUGUGGUUUAAUUCGAUACUACGCGAGGAACCUUACCUGGGCUUGACAUGUACUUGAUCGCCGUAGAAAUAUGGUUUUUCAGGCGUAAGCUUGAACGGGUACACAGGUGCUGCAUGGCUGUCGUCAGCUCGUGUCGUGAGAUGUUGGGUUAAGUCCUUUAACGAGNNNNNNNNNNNNNNNNNNCAACCCUCUUCGGAGGGGCACUCUGAUGGGACUGCCUAGGAAACUAGGAGGAAGGUGGGGAUGACGUCAAGUCCGCAUGGCCCUUAUGUCCAGGGCAACACACGUGUUACAAUGGGUAGUACAGAGCGUUGCAAUCCCGCAAGGGGGAGCGAAUCGCAGAAAGCUACUCUAAGUUCGGAUUGAGGUCUGCAAUUCGACCUCAUGAAGCUGAAAUCGCUAGUAAUCGCAUAUCAGAACGAUGCGGUGAANNNNNNNNNNNNNNNNNNNNNNNNNNNNNNNNNNNNNACGAAAGCUGUUUGUACCCUAAGUUGUCUUAGCUAACCCCUUGGGGGGGGGGGGGGGGGGGGGGGGGGGAGUGAUUGGGGUGAAGUCGUAACAAGGUAACC